UACGUAGGGGGCUAGCGUUGUCCGGAUUUAUUGGGCGUAAAGGGUGCGUAGGCGGCGCGGUAAGUCGGGUGUGAAAUCUUGGAGCUUAACUCCGAAACUGCAUUCGAUACUGCCGUGCUUGAGGACUGGAGAGGAGACUGGAAUUUACGGUGUAGCGGUGAAAUGCGUAGAUAUCGUAAGGAAGACCAGUGGCGAAGGCGGGUCUCUGGACAGUUCCUGACGCUGAGGCACGAAGGUCAGGGGAGCAAACGGG
rnacentral:rRNA from 1 species